rnacentral:rRNA from 1 species
AUACGGAGGGUGCAAGCGUUAUUCGGAAUCACUGGGCGUAAAGGGUGCGUAGGCGGUUUGAUAAGUCUGAUGUGAAAUCCUAUGGCUCAACCAUAGAACUGCAUUGGAAACUGUCAGACUAGAAUACUGAAGGGGCAGAUGGAAUUAGUGGUGUAGGGGUAAAAUCCGUAGAUAUCACUAGGAAUACCGAAAGCGAAAGCGAUCUGCUGGGAAGUUUUUGACGCUGAGGCACGAAAGCGUGGGGAGCAAACGGGAUUAGAUACCCCAGUAGUCC